AUGAUUGGACGAAACGAAGAAAUAGCUCCUUAUGUGCAAAACUAUACGAGAUCACCUGUAAAAUCAAACAAUUCCAUCGAAUUGAGUAUGAUUGUAUGCAAAUAG
rnacentral:rRNA from 1 species